rnacentral:tRNA from 1 species
UAAUAAGAAGCAAUUAUGCAUUUAGUUUCGACCUAAAAGAUUGAUGUUAACCCGUCCUUAUUUU